GAUGAACGCUGGCGGCAUGCCUAAUACAUGCAAGUCGAACGAGAGGAAGGAAAGCUUGCUUUUCUGAAUCUAGUGGCGAACGGGUGAGUAACACGUAGGUAACCUGCCCAUGUGCCCGGGAUAACUUCUGGAAACGGAUGCUAAAACCGGCUAGGUAGCAGACAAGCAUUUGACUGCUAUUAAAGUGGCUAAGGCCAUGAACAUGGAUGGACCUGCGGGGCAUUAGCUAGUUGGUGAGGUAACGGCCCACCAAGGCGACGAUGCAUAGCCGGCCUGAGAGGGCGGACGGCCACAUUGGGACUGUGACACGGCCCAAACUCCUACGGGAGGCAGCAGUAGGGAAUUUUCGUCAAUGGGGGGAACCCUGAACGAGCAAUGCCGCGUGAGUGAGGAAGGUCUUCGGAUCGUAAUGCUCUGUUGUAAGAGAAAAACGACAUUCAUAGGGAAUGAUGAGUGAGUGAUGGUAUCUUACCAGAAAGUCACGGCUAACUACGUGCCAGCCGCCGCAGUAA
rnacentral:rRNA from 1 species